rnacentral:rRNA from 1 species
AUUGAACGCUGGCGGCAGGCCUAACACAUGCAAGUCGAACGAGUGGCGGACGGGUGAGUAAUGUCUGGGAAACUGCCUGAUGGAGGGGGAUAACUACUGGAAACGGUAGCUAAUACCGCAUACCAUCAGAUGUGCCCAGAUGGGAUUAGCUGGUAGGUGGGGUAACGGCUCACCUAGGCGACGAUCCCUAGCUGGUCUGAGAGGAUGACCAGACACACUGGAACGGAGACACGGUCCAGACUCCUACGGGAGGCAGCAGUGGGGAAUAUUUCACAAUGGGCGCAAGCCUGAUGCAGCCAUGCCGCGUGUAUGAAGAAGGCCUUCGGGUUGUAAAGCACUUUCAGCGAGGAGGCGUUACGCGCAGAAGAAGCACCGGCUAACUCCGUGCCAGCAGCCGCGGUAAUUC